CCAUGUAUGAAAUAUUGCCCCCACUACUUGAAAUUCCUGAAUCCGUCACGUCACUGCCUAAAUCCCUAAUCAAAUCUCACUCAAUGGUCCAGCCCCCAAAUUAAAACUCAAAAUCUCUACCAUUCAUUGUUCAUCUAUCACAACAUCCACCAUUGCAUUGCAUAUCGACACCCUUGCGAUGACGACAGUGAACGGCGACGGUGGCGAUGAUACCUCGGCAGUGCUUAGAAGAAGAGCGGCAACCGCUACAAACUCAUCGGAGGAUAGUGUUCUUCCCUCUCCUCUGAACCUGGUCGCCCUCACGCAGUAUUGCUCUGCCGUGGAAUCGUCGUAUCUAAAGCAUGGCAGCGAACACUCGCAGCGCAAGGUGCGAUUCAGCUUCAAGGUUUUCUCCCCUCAAAUCAACGUUACCACGAUCAUGGCUUGCAGCUGCUAGUAUUCUGCUACCUACCUCAGGAGGCUUGGGCCAAGCUCACAGGUGUUUAUUCUCUUUGCUAACCAAGGUGGAGGACUGGAGGUGAUGAAGACAAAUGUAUAGCUCUGGUGAUGAUCAAACAUCUGGUGUUUUCACUCGCUCAUUUCAUUUGGGUCUUCAUUGUGCCAUAUGCUCACAGUGCAGAAUGUCAUUCCGCAGCGUAGUUCGUGAUGUGAGGGACAGUUUUGGGAGCUUAUCUAGGCGGUAGUUUUGAUGUUAGACUUACUGGCCAUCAUAGAGGAAAAUCUCAUGGUUCGGUACAGGAUUUACAUGACCAGCCUCUAGUAAUUCAAAUUAGUUGCUGGGCAAGCUUACCCCCAGAACUACUAUUUGAUGUCAUUAGACGGCUAGAGGAGAGUAAGAAUACAUGGCCUGCUCGAAAGCAUGUUGUUGCAUGUGCUGCAGUUUGCCAGUCUUGGAGGAAUAUGUGCAAAGGAUAUUGGUAAGAACCCGAAGUUCUCUGGCAAGCUUACUUUCCCUGUGUCCCUGAAGCAGGUUAGCUUCAUUACUUAUCUUAGUGUCUCAUUCUUUGUUGAAUAAUCUGCAACAUUUUUUGUGGGGAUAAGAAUGAUAGUUGGAUGCAACAAAGCACUUAUCUUUUGCUCCUUUCACUUUUCAGCUUGGCCACGCGAUGAGAUCAUUCAAUGUUUUAUCAAUAAAGAUAAAUCUAACUUAACAUACCACCUGCUCCUUUGCUUAAGCCCUGCUAAGCACUCUAUAUAUACAUGUAGUUGUCCCUUUGGUUUAUAUGGUUUUAUGUUUGGUUUCUUCUGCUAUGACCCUGUACAUUUUAUCUGAUGUGAUGUUUCAAUUUUUAAACAGUUCAAGUAGUUGAAGUUACAGUUUAUGAAAGCCUCUCCUGUGUAGAGUUUUUGAGCAUGCCCAAUUUUAAAAUACACCAAUAGAAUAUGAUUUGCUUCCAUUGCUUGUGAUUUACCUCAGUUGCAUAAUGUGACUGAGAGCUCAAGAAUCACCCCCAAGUAUGUCUUCUAAGCUCUUCAAUCUAUAUAUGAAUCGUUUUGCGGUAGUAUCACUAUCCAAUUUGAUAUAUAUUAAACUACCUAUUCUGCCUGACUUUAGAAGACAUGCUUUUGCAACCUGUUUUUUUGUUUGUGAGAUCUUCAUUUUCCUCUAUGUUCGUAUGUUCAAUUGAAGGUGUUCCUCUACCAUUUGAGGCUGGUGAGAUAGAUUUCGAUGGACUAGGAACUAAUGGGCAGCAUAGCUUUUACCAAACUCAUACAUUAGGUGAUAUGAUUGUAGUUCAUAAUUGUUUGUUUGAGCUUUGAAAGGUUUAAUAAACUCCUGUUAAAAGUUUAACAUUAAAAUACUUCUUGUUUGAUAGAUUUACCAAUAUUAAAAAUUAGGAGCUCAAAAGCCUAUCCUACUAUAUUUUUUACUGUUAAUUCUAGUUUUGAAAUCAUUAUGAUGAGCUUUGUGCCUAUGUCUACUACUGCAUGUUUCUUUGUAUUCCAGUUCUAUUUUUUUUUACCUGUUUCGAAUGCUAAUCCUUCAUUCAAAUAAUGGAUUUUGAUAUGGGCAUAAAUCCAGGAAGAAAUUUAAUAGCAUAUUUAAAGUCGAGCACAUUUUUUUUCUACAUCAAUUGCAGGUGCAUUUGUUGACUACUGCAUGUUUCUUUGUAUUCCAGUUCUAUUUUUUUUACCUGUUUCGAAUGCUAAUCCUUCAUUCAAAUAAUGGAUUUUGAUAUGGGCAUAAAUCCAGGAAGAAAUUUAAUAGCAUAUUUAAAGUCGAGCACAUUUUUUUUCUACAUCAAUUGCAGGUGCAUUUGUUGGAUGCUCACUUGAAGGAAGUACUGUCACUACUCGCACUCAAGAAAAUUGUUGUAUUUAUGGCAGCCAGACUAUAACUGCAACAUAUAUACUUCUUUGCUUGCUGCUUGACCACCUGCUGCCGCCAUUCUCUUCUGUGCUCUUGCAGAUUUGUAUGUCAAGCUUGAUGGUUAAUUCAAUGGUUUACAUGUCACAUUUCAUUCCUUUCUCAUUUUGGACAUGGGCGUUUAAGAAGAUUUGUGCAGCUGCUACGUCCAACUAAAAUUGUAAAGACUCUUCGUGUCUUUAUUUGUCAUCUAAAUACAUGCAUAUGUAGAUAUUGUCUACUCUGUGUUGACUAAGAUGGAGGAGGUGACCUGUUAAUUUUACAUGA